UGGGUGUCACAGGAGGAAUGCCAGGCAGU
rnacentral:piRNA from 1 species